UGGGGAAUCUUCCGCAAUGGACGAAAGUCUGACGGAGCAACGCCGCGUGAGUGAAGAAGGUUUUCGGAUCGUAAAACUCUGUCUUUUGGGGCGAACGUGAGUAUGGUGAACAAUCAUAGUCAGUGACGGUACCAAAGGAGGAAGCCACGGCUAACUACGUGCCAGCAGCCGCGGUAAUACGUAGGUGGCAAGCGUUGUCCGGAAUUAUUGGGCGUAAAGAGCGCGUAGGCGGGAUAGUCAGUCUGUUGUAAAGUGCGGGGCUCAACCCCGUGAUGGCAAUGGAAACAGCUAUUCUUGAGUGCAGGAGAGGAAAGUGGAAUUCCCAGUGUAGCGGUGAAAUGCGUAGAUAUUGGGAGGAACACCAGUGGCGAAGGCGACUUUCUGGACUGUGUCUGACGCUGAGGCGCGAAAGCCAGGGGAGCGAACGGGAUUAGAUACCCCGGUAGUCCUGGCCGUAAACGAUGGGUACUAGGUGUGGGGGGUAUCGACCCCUUCCGUGCCGGAGUUAACGCAAUAAGUACCCCGCCUGGGGAGUACGGUCGCAAGACUGAAACUCAAAGGAAUUGACGGGGGUCAUAGCUGUUUCCUG
rnacentral:rRNA from 1 species